rnacentral:rRNA from 1 species
UAUGGGGAGUCUGCCCGAUAGAGGGGGAUAACUACUGGAAACGGUGGCUAAUACCGCAUAAUGUCGCAAGACCAAAGUGGGGGACCUUCGGGCCUCAUGCCAUCAGAUGUGCCCAGAUGGGAUUAGCUAGUAGGUGGGGUAAAGGCUCACCUAGGCGACGAUCUCUAGCUGGUCUGAGAGGAUGAUCAGCCACACUGGGACUGAGACACGGCCCAG